rnacentral:rRNA from 1 species
UUUGAUGGCGACCGGCGCACGGGUGAGUAACAUGUAUCCAACCUGCCGAUGACUCGGGGAUAGCCUUUCGAAAGAAAGAUUAAUACCCGAUGGCAUAGUUCUUCCGCAUGGUAGAACUAUUAAAGAAUUUCGGUCAUCGAUGGGGAUGCGUUCCAUUAGGUUGUUGCGGGGUAACGGCCCACCAAGCCUUCGAUGGAUAGGGGUUCUGAGAGGAAGGUCCCCCACAUUGGAACUGAGACACGGUCCAAACUCCUACGGGAGGCAGCAUG